rnacentral:rRNA from 1 species
GUCGUAACAAGGUUUCCGUAGGUGAACCUGCGGAAGGAUCAUUAGUGAUUGACCUCCGGGUCUUAAUAACUAUAAUCUUCUACCUCUGUGAACCGUUGGUCUUCGGACCGAUUCUUAUAACAAACAUCUGUGUAAUGAACGUAACCUAUAUUAAUCAUAUAAAACUUUUAACAACGGAUCUCUUGGCUCUCGCAUCGAUGAAGAACGCAGCGAAAUGCGAUAAGUAAUGUGAAUUGCAGAAUUCAGUGAAUCAUCGAAUCUUUGAACGCACCUUGCGCCUUUUGGUAUUCCGAAAGGCAUGCCUGUUUGAGUGUCAUGAAAUAUCAACCCCUCCUGGGUUCUGAUCAGUGUUGGGCUUGGACUUGGGUGUCUGCCAGUUCGCUGGCUCGCCUUAAAAGAGUUAGUGGUAAUAACAUCCACGGCUAAGACGUAAUAAGUUUCGUCUGGUCAAGGUGUGACGACUGCUCAUAACCCGACCGCAAGGUCAUUAUUUAUGCUCUGACCUCAAAUCAGGUAGGACUACCCGCUGAACUUAAGCAUAUCA